rnacentral:lncRNA from 1 species
GUACUCGACCACGAGGUCGAGUGGUAGGUCGAGUUGGUGAAGGAGCUGGUACUCGACCACGAGGUCGAGUGGUAGGUCGAGUUGGUGAAGGAGCUGGUACUCGACCACGAGGUAUAGUGGUUGGUCGAGUUGGUGAAGGAGAGGGUACUCGACUUGGUGAUCGACUUGGUGCUCGACUUGGUGCUCGACUUGGUCGUGGUCGAGUGCAUUUGGAAGGUCAUGAUGAUGGUGCUCGACCUCGUGGUCGAGCAUACUGAUGGGUUCUGGUCCAUUUCUUCCAAUUUGCUCACCAACAGCUCCAAAUCACCUGAAAACAACUCAAAUAUGCAACAUGCAUG